UUACAAUAAUCAACGUUAUGACCUCCAUCCUCAACCUUUUGUACUGUCCUAACGUCUCAUCUUGUUUAGCCACGAGGCUUUUCUGCAAUGAAAAUCGUGUUACUUAUCAGCUUCAAAUGUCUCACUUCAACUUUCUGAAGUUAAUAAAUUUUCUAAGCGGUUCUUCUUUCUGCUUGGGCGCUACUUGGGCGGGAGCAACUGGCUUUAAUUUUUUUUGUAGUCCGGAAAAUACAAUAAGUGUGCCCCAUUGACUUUUAUGGUUGUUAGUCACGUGAUAGAGACACAGCGCGGAGGAUCCUAAAAUAGACCAAUGAUUCUGAAAAUAGUUUAUUUUACUUCAGCUCCUUAUAUUACCCCCCUUUCAUAAGUGUGGCUUUGGAAGUUCGAAAAAAACUGCUACGAGGCAUCUAUGACGACUGUCUAUCCGAUAAGGGAGUUAUUGAGAUUGCAGGUUUGCUCACUACUUUAUAGCUUUUCACAAAUGUUAAACUCGAUAUUGGUGGUGCAAAAAAAAAUUAAAAAAUCGACAGUCAGCGCAAAGGUUUUUUAUUUGGUCUCCUAAUGAUUACUUUUUUAUUUUGCCGUGGGUAAUUGGAUAUCCCCAUCCUUCAAAUUUUACUGGUGAGUAUAAAAUCGUCCA